rnacentral:rRNA from 1 species
GACAGAGGAUGCAAGCGUUAUCCGGAAUGAUUGGGCGUAAAGCGUCUGUAGGUGGCUUUUUAAGUCCGCCGUCAAAUCCCAGGGCUCAACCCUGGACAGGCGGUGGAAACUACCAGCUAGAGUACGGUAGAGGGGGAUGGAAUUCCGCGUGUAGCAGUGAAAUGCGUAGAUAUGCGGAGGAACACCGAUGGCGAAGGCAAUCCCCUGGACCUGUACUGACGCUCAUGCACGAAAGCGUGGGGAGCAAACAGG